UACGAAGGGGGCUAGCGUUGUUCGGAUUUACUGGGCGUAAAGGGCGCGUAGGCGGCAAUUCAAGUCAGCUGUGAAAUCUCCGGGCUUAACUCGGAACGGUCAGCUGAUACUGCUUGCUAGAGUGCAGAAGGGGCAAUCGGAAUUCUUGGUGUAGCGGUGAAAUGCGUAGAUAUCAAGAGGAACACCUGAGGUGAAGACGGGUUGCUGGGCUGACACUGACGCUGAGUGCGCGAAAGCUAGGGUAGCAAACGGG
rnacentral:rRNA from 1 species